GACGAACGCUGGCGGCGUGCUUAACACAUGCAAGUCGAACGGAAAGGCCCUGCUUUUGUGGGGUGCUCGAGUGGCGAACGGGUGAGUAACACGUGAGUAACCUGCCCUUGACUUUGGGAUAACUUCAGGAAACUGGGGCUAAUACCGGAUAGGAGCUCCUGCUGCAUGGUGGGGGUUGGAAAGUUUCGGCGGUUGGGGAUGGACUCGCGGCUUAUCAGCUUGUUGGUGGGGUAGUGGCUUACCAAGGGUUUGACGGGUAGCCGGCCUGAGAGGGUGACCGGGGACAAGGGGACUAAGGGAGGGCGCAGAAGGGUACGGGAGGCAACGGUCGAGAGCCUGGCGGAGCGGGGCGGAGGCAGUGACGAAGACGCCGGGUUCGGAAUGACGGGCUUCGGGGGAUAAACAGAUGUGGACGGAGACGUGGAGAGAGUGACGGUAAUGAGUAAGAAAGCAACGGCUAACUACGUG
rnacentral:rRNA from 1 species